rnacentral:rRNA from 1 species
ACGACUCUCGGCAACGGAUAUCUCGGCUCUCGCAUCGAUGAAGAACGUAGCAAAAUGCGAUACCUGGUGUGAAUUGCAGAAUCCCGCGAACCAUCGAGUUUUUGAACGCAAGUUGCGCCCGAGGCCUUCUGGUCGAGGGCACGCCUGCCUGGGCGUCA